rnacentral:lncRNA from 1 species
UUUAGAGGUUGUGAGAUUUGAUGGCUACAACAUUUAUUUCAUUAUUUGAGAGGAUCUCCUUGAGUGAUUAUUUAUAUUCGAAGAGAGGGCAUUUUCUUAAAGACUAGAAGCACUCUAGUGUUGUAAAUAUUUUUCAAACACCCGUAAACUUAGUGGAUACCCAAAGAGAACUUAGAGAGUGGACGUAAGCAAUGAUUCGCCAAACCACUAUAAAUUGUUUGCACUCUCUUCUCUCUUCUUAUUGCUUAUUUAUUUGAUUAGAGUGCAUAGUAAAUUUAUUGUUAAGUAAACUUUUAAUUGGUUAUUAAGAGUAGCAAACCUAUUCACUCCUCAUAGUUUGAUUUUUAGCUAAGAGAAAUAAAAAUGAAAAAGGUAUGUGAUCCAAUAGUUUUGAACAAUUGGAUCGUCAGCUUUUUUUAUUUUUAUUUUAUUUUUUCUCACUAAAUUUAGAAUCCAAACACAAUCUUAGGGUGUGAAUUUCGAAAUCUACAAAUAUAAUAUAGGCUACGUUCAUUUGGUGUGAAUUCAGUUAGUGGUUGCAAUUAAGGUCUCUUGUAAGUACGAUAUGAAUAAUGUUUGAUUCUUUUAUGUUGUCUUUUUUUAGUUCUCUUUUUUGUGUGCUUGAUUAGAUUAGUUAUGUAAUUAAUUAUAACUCUAGUUGGACUGGGGCAAAUUAAAUUAAUUGAUUGUUAGAUUAUUAAUUAAUUAAUAUCAUGGUUAUAUCAUUGUGUGACAAGGGUUUGAUAAAUUACCGAAGCAUUUUUAUCCUAGUGACUAUAAUAUCCGAAAGCUUAGGUUGCGUUUCGAAAGGAAAGAAAUGGAAAAGAAUGGACACUAAUAAUUUUCCCUUUUCCAGGUUUCGUAUCUAGUUUUAAGAAGGAAAGUCAGUCAAAACUUAUUUUCUUUCUUGUUUUGAAAUUUUCUUUUCACAUUUUCACCUCUUAAUUUUAUCUAAAAUUAAAUAAAAAUAAUUUUUUUUUUUUUUACAAAAAACAAACAAAGAGAAAUAUAUAGUUUUCUCUAGAUUCUUCCUUUUAAUUCCUUUAUCUAGUUUCUCUUUCUUUUUCUUUACACAAUUUCCAAACACAGGCUUAAUCAUGGGAGAGAGAGGUUGCUAGGUUGUGUAAUUAGCAAAAUUUCAUGACACGUCUUAUUUGAUGUAAUUUGGAGAUUUAGUUUAUCAAUUACAAGCAUUCGGAAAGAUUUCAAGCAUUCAAAAAGGUUUUUAAGUAUAUUCAUACAAGAUCAUGCUAACAGAGACUUGUAAGAUACAUCGUGGAUGAUAAACGGGACUUCAAGGGAUUUCGAGAGAUGACAAUCAUUAGAUCAUAGAGUUGAUAGAUUUUAAUUGUAAGAGUCUUGUAAUCAUCUGAACAUCGAGUUAUAGUGCAUGAUCUUUGUCCAGAGAAGGGAACACGUGAUUUUUCUUUCAUUCAAGGGUUUCCACGGUAAAAAUCUUGUGUAUUUCUUGGUUAAUGGGUUUGUUUCUUUUUAUAUCUUGAAUCUUACAAUAUUGCACAAAGUCGUGAUAUUCAUUUAAUAUUGUAGUUUUUAGAUCAUUGGGUAAAACAUAGACAAAUGUUAGGUUUUCUAAAUGUCAAUUACACAAAUAGAUACACAGUAUUAUUAUACAUAGAGGGAGCAAUAGCCCACAAGUAGAAGUUUCAGUUUCACCACACCCAUAUUAUUAACAGAUGGAAAUAUAUAUUUAUUCUUGAGAGGUACACACUGAUCACACAUCUACUGCUCCAUACCAAGUAAGCCAGAUAAUGGCAUUUAUAUCUCCAUUAUAUCACUUGAGAUGGUGGGUCUCAAUGUCUUUUGUGAUCUCAAUACAGAGGUCCAUCAAUUUGUUUGGCUCUUCAACAUCUUCUUUCGGCUUUUCAUAGUGAAAGUUCCAUGUCACCGAGGUGUUUUCCCCUUUUGUGUCCACAUGAACAACAAUCAUAAAGGUCUUGUACAGAUCCAUAAGAUCUCCUUCAACAACCUUGAAUGUCACGGACUUGGUUUCUUCUUCAGUUCUUCUAUUGCUUCAACAAUUUCCUUAGCAGCCUUCUCCUUUCUAUCUGUGGUUUUCAUCACAUUAAAUGCAACUUCUUAAGUCAAGCUAGUCAAGGCGUAUCCACAAUUUUAAUUUUGGGGAGCUGAAUAUAUAUAUAAAACACAUAAUUUGUAAAUUACACAUGUAAUAUAUUGGACCUAGAAUUUCUCUCCUAGGUGCUUUCAAUUGCUUGUAAUAAAACAUAAUAUUUUUAUGUAAUUUUUAUAUAUUUUAUAUUUUGAGUAUUUGUCUGUGAAUCCAACCCUAUAGUUGUAAUUUAAAGAAAUUCUGAAACUACGAGGACAAAAGUGCAAUUUUGUACUAGAGGAGGUUAAGAAGACUAUAAAUACAUGAGGGAGGCAACCCUAAUUGGGAGUAAGAGCCAACAAUAUUGUUUAUCCAUGCUCUUUGUGUACUUGAGAGAUUUUUAGAGAAAUCAUUGAGCUUCAUCUUUUCUCUUAAGGUGUGUUUAUCAUAAACUCAUCAAAUCAAGAUUUAAAUCCUUUGGACAUACUCAAAGGCGGAUAGAUUUAAGUUCAAUUCAUAGAUGAUUGUUGAUGAUUCAAUACUCAACCAUUAACUGAAGCGUAGAUCGUGGACUCAGUCAGUACUAGGAUCACAUUCACAUGUUCGAGGAUUUGACACCUAAGGCGCGUGAAUUUAGUUAGAUUGAGUUUGUAAGUUAUAACUUAUAUUUUGCAUAGUGGAUUAGUUGAUCGUACUUAGUUCCAGAUUUUUUUUUCUACUUUGAGAUUUUGCACGUAAAAAAUUGCUUGUUUUUGUGUGUGCUUGAUUUUAUAUUUAUUUGAGGUUUUUAUUUGUUUGGUUAAAUAGCUUCGCAAAUUCAUAAAACGAAUAAAACUAUAUUUUUAAUUUUACAAUUGGUAUCAGAGCGGGUCACUCAAAAUAAAAUAUUUUUUUAUUUUUUUUCAGAGUAUGGUCUGAUUGAUUUGUUUCUAUGUAUAAAUUUGAUCGUAAGAAGCUUGACAAUAUUCAACAAGCCUAUGAUAACUUUGUAAGGAGUCUUAUGAGAAGAACAAAAUUUAUGAAAAAUGUAAUGCAAAAGUGGAAUCACUUAAGAAGUCUUAAGAGAUGAAUAUAAAUAAGAGCUAAUUGAAGCUCAAGCUACCGUGGGUGAAUUGAAUCGUAUAAUGCUACUUUGUCUAAAAAAAAAAUUAUUAUUGAAAAAGAGAAAAAAUAAAUAUUUGAUAAGUUGAAUUUACUUUUUGAAAAACAUUUAAAACCUGACAAAGAUAUGCAUUUGUGUCUUGAGUCAAAAGAUAAUCUUGAGGAAAAAGUGGGUAAAUUAGAAUUUGAUCUUAGUGCUUCUAAUGCUACUCUCGAGAAGUUUAAUGCAGAUUCAAAGGUUUUGGAUGAAAUUAUUUGCGUGCAAAAAUUUUCUUCUGACAAGAGAGGACUUGGAUAUGUUGAUAAGCCUUCAUCUUCUUCCAAAUCGGGGAACAUGGAUAUUUUUGUGAACCCUAAAAAAUGUGGUUCCAAUCUUUCCAAGGCCAACCAAACAAAGGGAUCUCCUAAGAAAACCGUCACAAAUGUAUAGGUAAAAUCAUCUAAUUUUAAUCUUGUUUGCCAUCAGUGUAGUGUCCAUGGUCAUAUUAGGCAUUUAUUGAUUUAAUGAUUGUUUUGAUGAUAUUUGAUGAUGUCAAGGUUUCAUCAUGUAUGGUCUUAAUAUUGAUAUAUGCACAAAAUGUAUAUAUAUAUAUAUAUAUAUAUAUAUAUUAUUUAUCAUAUUAAUACAUAUAUAUUAGAUUCAUGGUAUGAUUAUGCGUAUUCUACAUUAGUAUUUUUCAUUCUAUUAGUAUUAUACACCUUCAAAGUUCAGUCGAUCAAAAUUGCAACUGAAACAAAGUUUGAUUGACUGAAGUUGACUUUUGGUCGGCCGAACUUUCGACCAAAAUUUAAAAUUUUCAAUCCUAACAGUCCAAAUCAAGUUCCAACGGCCCAAAUUAAAUUCUAAUUACUCUAUUACUAUUUCAACAAGUAGAUUUGCUAAGAUGGCUAUAAAUACAACCCUUAACUAGAUGCAAAUUAUGAUGGGAUGAAAUAGGUUUGAUAGGAUUAAUGACCAAUUAAAAUUCUUGUUAAAACUUAUACUAGCAAUGCACUCUCAAUUUAAGCAAAUAUAUAUAAACAACUUAAAAGAGGGGAGAGAAAAUAGUGCAAACGAUUUAUAAUGGUUCAACAAAUCUCAGCCUACGUCCACUCUCCAAACUUCUCAUUGGAAAUUCAUUAUCUUCAAAUUUGUGAGUGCUUGAAAAUCUUUAUAAAUACUAGAACCUUUUAGUCGUCAAGAGAGUCCCUCUCUUAGGAAUUUUACAAUUACUUAUAGUGAUCCUUUCAACAAGAUACAAUAGUUGAAGUGAUUCUUACUUACCAACUCUAGAUCAAGGAUAAAUACAAUCAUAUCUAGAAUGAUCUUGCUCACUUUGAUUUUUGGCAAAUCAAACUCACAAUAAAUGAACAAAUGAUUGAAGUAUUGAAUACAAAUGUUAUUAGGAUUUUAUGGCACUUCAAUACCCUUCCAACAAACCCAAGGAUUGAAUUAUAAGCCAAAAGUUAAAUAGAGUCAUUGCAGCAUGUAAUGCAUCUGAUUAAGCCAUUCUGAUUGAAUCUCAGCCGUUGGAUCUUGAUUUGGACUGCAGGAUUAAAAUGUUCAAACUUCGGUUGACCAAACUUUAAUUAUGGUCGAAAUUGCACUGAGAUUUCAGAGAUUAACUUUUCUUGUUUACUGAAGGGUUGGGGAACUUCGGUCGAGGUUUUGUAACUUUCGAUCGAACGAAUGUCAACUUCGGUUGACAUUGCUCUACAAUUUCAGUAAGCUCUUUAAUCUCUAAUUUGGCUCUUAACUGAUUUCGAUUGAUCGAAUCUUAACUUUGAUCGACUGAACCUUACCUUUAGUUAAGGUUGUACUAAAUUUUCAAUGAGCUCUUGGUUCCUCUAU